UUAAUUGAAGAGUUUGAUCAUGGCUCAGAUUGAACGCUGGCGGCAGGCCUAACACAUGCAAGUCGAGCGGCAGCACAGAGGAACUUGUUCCUUGGGUGGCGAGCGGCGGACGGGUGAGUAAUGCCUGGGAAAUUGCCCGGUAGAGGGGGGAUAACCAUUGGAAACGAUGGCUAAUACCGCAUAACCUCGCAAGAGCAAAGCAGGGGA
rnacentral:rRNA from 1 species